UACAUGGGGUGCAAACGUUGCUCGGAAUUAUUGGGCGUAAAGCGCGUGUAGGCGGUUACUCAAGUCGGAUGUGAAAGCCCUCGGCUUAACUGAGGAAGUGCACCCGAAACUGAGUAGCUAGAGUACUAAAGAGGGUCGCGGAAUUCCCGGUGUAGAGGUGAAAUUCGUAGAUAUCGGGAGGAACACCGGUGGCGAAGGCGGCGACCUGGGUAGAUACUGACGCUGAGGUGCGAAAGCGUGGGGAGCAAACAGG
rnacentral:rRNA from 1 species